ensembl:snoRNA
AGACCCCCAUGAUGCACUGGGCUCCAACUGCCCCUGAGGACACUGUACCCCCCAGGACCUUUGACACCUAGGGGUCUGAGGGGCCA